AAGACUAUACUUUCAGGGAUCAUUUCUAUAGUUUCUGACUUGAGAAAUGUGUUUCUAAAUUGUUUGGUCUCGCUAACCGCGAUGAUGAGUCGUGAUAUUCCUUUGUGAGCGUGAAGCUGACAGAAAGUAAUGAUUUCGUUCAUGUCUUCUGUCAUUGAUGAUUGUUCUGUACUUCCUCAUAGAAUACUGAAGAAGGGAAUAUGAUCAGAGUGGU
rnacentral:snoRNA from 1 species